rnacentral:rRNA from 1 species
GACGAACGCUGGCGGCGUGCUUAACACAUGCAAGUCGAACGGAAAGGACAUCGAUAUGUGGGUUGCUAGAGUGGCGAACGGGUGCGUAAGAGGGGAAUACCUUGCCCUUCACCUUGGCAUAAGUUCAGGACCCUGGGACUAUUAGCCGAAUGGCCAAUGUGCUGCCAGGUAGGCGUUGGAAAGGUUCGGCUGAUGUGGAUGGGCUCGGGGGUUAUCAGUUUGUUGGUGGGGUAGUGGCUUAACAGGGCUUUGAAGGGUAACGGGCCUCAGAGGGGGACCGGCCACAUGGGGACUGAGAUACGGGCCAGACUCCUACGGGAGGCAGCAGUGGGGAAGAUUGCACAAUGGGCGGAAGUCGGAUGCAGCAACGCCGCGUGCUGGAUGACAGCCUUCUGUUUGUAGACCGUAUACGCCUGUGACGGAGCGUGAGUGACGGUAAUGGGUAAAGAAGCACCGGCUAACUACGUG